rnacentral:rRNA from 1 species
UACGUAGGGUGCGAGCGUUAAUCGGAAUUACUGGGCGUAAAGCGUGCGCAGGCGGCGCGUUAAGACAGGUGUGAAAGCCCCGAGCUUAACUUGGGAAUUGCGCUUGUGACUGGCGUGCUGGAGUGUGGCAGAGGGAGGUGGAAUUCCACGUGUAGCAGUGAAAUGCGUAGAGAUGUGGAGGAACACCGAUGGCGAAGGCAGCCUCCUGGGCCAGCACUGACGCUCAUGCACGAAAGCGUGGGGAGCAAACAGGAUUAGAAACCCGGUAGUCC